GGGUCCCUGCGCCUCCGCUGCCGAGAGUUCGGGUUCAUUUUCAGCAGCUUUGGGAUGGGCUGGAUGCGCCAGAUGCCCGGGCAGGGGCUGGAGUGGAUCGCAGCGAUCUGGAGCAAUGGUGCCACCUACUACUCGCUGUCGGUCAAAGGCCAGUUCACGACUUCCAGGGACAACGGGCAGAGCUCGGUGACGCUGACCAUGAACAACCUCAAGGACGAGGAUUCCGGAUCCUAUUUCUGUGCCAAGGAUGCUGAUAGUUAUGGAGCUGCUCCUAAUGCUGCAGCAUAA